ensembl:lncRNA
GCAAAACUGAACAAACUUUUUGCCCAAACCAAUAGUUAAAGGUUCACGAGAAUUCAUUGCUGACCUAUUGAUGUUUUAAGUACAUGAGAUAUUUUUAAUGUUCUAAUUAUCUUCUAAAUAUUAAAUUUAUAUGGGAGUUCUGCUAAAAUGAUCAAACAUUGACAUAAGUCACCUUCAGCCCUCUAUUAGGAGAUGAUUUUGACAACUGUUUAGCAAGAAAAAGAUAAGAUUUUGGAUGAGAACUUCAAGCUCACAUGAUUCUUGCUCACAGAUGAGUCAGUUUUCAGGAGGAUCUAGCAACGAGAAGCUUUGCCCUGAGAUUAGAUAUGCUUAAAGUUACUUUCCAAAUGACCACUGUGAAAUAAUUACAUGGUCCCUGGUUGUUUUAAACUGAUUUUUACUUACUAGCGUUUCUGUUUCUCAUUCAGUUUACCCUUAGCUUUUACAAGUGACAUUGCCCUACAAAAAGAAAAGUCUCCAUAACAAAAUAUACCAGUCAAGAUCAAAUAUGACUUUAAAGAUUAGUGUCAUCACACGGAUGACAUGAGAAACCUCCAAAAAGACAAGCAUCUUUGUCUAUUCAUUUGGCACAUUUUCAAAUAGGAGAAGAUCCAGGGAAAAAGAGGAGAAACUCAUUUUAAAACCCAGAGAAAAUUAACAAAACCUAAGUAUGGCAGCCUCAGAGGAAGUUUUGAUACACACUCUGGCAUUUCAUCACAGCUCUCCCUCAACACAGCCUUCUCAGCACUGAUCAACAGCCAAACUUCAGCUCUCUGGGCAGCACGGUCAGUUCCCAAAGUUCAAGGAUUUCUCAAAAGGUCAGAGUUGUGGACACAUUGCUCAAUCCAAACAAGAGAAUGUGAAAUAAGAGGAGAGGAGGAUGGACGCAUUAGGGCCUUGCGCUGCACGUGCUAGGAGUCAUCCCGACAGGGUUUGUAAGCAAGUCCUAACCUCACCAUUAUGGAGAGCAUUAAAAGCAGCUGCUUAAACCUAAGACUGGGUGUGUCACUCGCUUCCCUCCAGUCAGCCAGAGCCUGGUAUUCACGCUCAGAGGGCCAUGGAAAUGUAAGUAAUUGAAGUCAGGCACACAAACACUCCAACUGGCCCAUCUAAAACCUUGGGAUUCCCCAGGAUCAGGCCAGCAAAGUGAUGUCCAGACUUGUGGGAUUCACCAUUUCCAGUCCUACAAUAACACUUCCUCCUGAACUCAAAUCUUGAAAACCAAGGAAACCACCAUGAUGAAGCCAAGGAAGCCAUGUGGUAGAUGUUUUAAAACUGAAGCCUGUCCAGAAAGGACAAGACCUGCCCAAAAAGGAGGCGUAAACCUGUUCCGUACCUGGGAGGAUGACUCUGAGCUACAAAACAAAGGAGUGCUGUGUCCCAGGUGAAGGCAGAGCAGGACCAAACUGGGGGUUGGGGGUGGGGCAGGCUGCCUCCGGAGUAGGAGUACAAGGUCAUGGAGGAGUGCUCUAGAAGAAAAUAACCCUUCUCUUACUCUCAGCUGAAGUUUCCCUUGGUUGGACAGCCACAGACAUUCCAGCAUUUAACAUUUCUUGGGGGUAAACCUAGAGCUUCUCAAGAGCAAAUGACCAAAUAAAUGGUAAAAGAGAAUAUGGAAGAAAGGGAACAAGAGUGAAUUUACCGCUUUAAAAAGGCUGUGAAAAUACAUCAACCAAAAAAAGCAAUCUAAAGAGGAAAUAAAGAAAAUAAUUCCAUUACCAAGAAUAAAAUCUUGGAACAGGAAUGAUUUUUAGGGCAGUGAAACCACUCUGUAUGAUACUAUAAUGGUGACUACAUAUUGCAGAUGGUGAUUGCAGCCAUGAAAUUAAAAGAUGCUUACUCCUUG